rnacentral:lncRNA from 1 species
UUUCAGCUGCUAUAACAAAAUAGUGUAGACUCUAAACAACAGAAAUUUCUCAGAAGGCUAAGAAGGCCCAGAAAAGGUGUUAAUGGACCUGGUGUCUGAGAAGAGCUAGCCUUCUUGACCUGGUCUUAGUUUCCAGAUGUUAUGACCUUAAGGGGUAGGGUUUCAAUAUAGAAGUCUAAAAGUUGGACAAGCCUUAGAUGUUGCUGUGAGGUUUUUUGUUUUUUUGUUUUUUUUUUUAAUGUAUAUGGAGUUUGGGGUAUUAAGGACUUUGUACAAGACACAUUUGACUGGUUGGCUGGUUGGUUUUAUUUUAAUUGAAACAAAAGGAUGAAAAACAUCUCUGGCCCGUAUCACUCAACAACAAUGAACUACACAGUUGAACUAUAAUUGUGAAUUCAGACAGGUUGGUUUGGUUGGAAUUGGGAGGUGACCUUUCCAGCUUUGUUAGCAGCCUCUCCUCCAAGGCUUCAUUUGCAAGAUGGUUCUAGGCUUUGUCCUGAGGUCCAGAAGAUGCAGUUUCUGUGACAGGCUCAGAGGGAGUCACAGGUGACUCACAUUUGCUUUAGGAUUUCCUUUGGGGUUGCCUUGGCAUUUCUCAGCUGUGGCUCUGUCCCAACUCAUUUAGCGUAGACCGUUCCUCAGUUUACAGUCCAUGUGUGGGUAUAUUCUAUUGAUAGCGAUUUAGCUUUUGAUCAUUUCACUGAGCACAGUGACACUUGAAUUAGUGGUGCAGAUGCCACGAGUAGGCGUGUCUUCACGGGGGAGGAAAGCUUUGAUUUUAAUGCUCCUUUUCCUUUCGUUUCCUGGGGCCUCAGCCUGCAGCUGACUCUCAGGUGUCUCUUCUAUGUUACCGGGGCACCUUGAUGAUUAACUGACUUCUCUUACUGCUUCUAUAAACGAAGGGAUGAGCACUGUGGAUUAUUUUUAUAUGCUUUUUGAGGUAGAUUCUCACUAUGUAGCUCUGGCAGUCCUGGAACUUACUAUGUAGACCAGGCCGUCCUGAACUCACAGAGAUCCUCCUGCCUCUGUCUUCUGAGUACCAGAAUCAAAGUCAUAUGGCUCCAGGCCCAGUGAGUACUAUGUUUUAUUAGAAAAUGGGAGAAUGAAAAAUAUACAGGACUUGCUAUAACUAUGUAACUUGUAAUUGAAUACCUUCAUUUAGUAAGAAAGAUGUAAGCGGGCUGUGGUGGCACACCCCUUAACUCCCAGCUCUUGAGUUCAAGGCCAACCUGGUCUAUAGAGUGAGUUCCAGGACAGCCAAGGAUACACAGAGAAACCCUGUCCUGAAG